UGGGGAAUAUUGCACAAUGGACGGAAGUUUGAUGCAGCGACGCCGCGUGGAGGGUGUAGGCCUUCGGGUUGUGAACUCCUUUUUCUCGCGAAAAAGGCACAGUUUUGGCUGUGUUGAUGGUAGUGGGGGAAGAAGCGCCGGCUAACUACGUGCCAGCAGCCGCGGUAAUACGUAGGGCGCGAGCGUUGUCCGGAUUUAUUGGGCGUAAAGAGCUCGUAGGUGGUUCGUCGCGUCUGUCGUGAAAGCCAGCAGCUUAACUGUUGGUCUGCGGGUGGGACGGGGGGGCUUGAGUGCGGUAGGGGGGACUGGAAUUCCUGGUGUAGCGGUGGAAUGCGCAGAUAUCAGGGGGAACACCGAUGGCGAAGGCAGGUCACUGGGCCGUUACUGACACUGAGGAGCGAAAGCGUGGGGAGCAAACAGG
rnacentral:rRNA from 1 species